UGACCAGUUUCUUUUUUAGAAGCUCGAGGCCAUACGGACAGCCGGGUCAACUGCCGA
rnacentral:sRNA from 1 species